rnacentral:rRNA from 1 species
GACGAACGCUGGCGGCGUGCUUAACACAUGCAAGUCGAACGGAACUCUUUGGAUCGAGACUUCGGUCAAGUGAAUUUGAGUUUAGUGGCGGACGGGUGAGUAACGCGUGGGUAACCUGCCUCAUACAGGGGGAUAACAGUUAGAAAUGACUGCUAAUACCGCAUAAGCGCACAGGACCGCAUGGUCUGGUGUGAAAAACUCCGGUGGUAUGAGAUGGACCCGCGUCUGAUUAGCUAGUUGGUGGGGUAACGGCCUACCAAGGCGACGAUCAGUAGCCGGCCUGAGAGGGUGAACGGCCACAUUGGGACUGAGACACGGCCCAAACUCCUACGGGAGGCAGCAGUGGGGAAUAUUGCACAAUGGGGGAAACCCUGAUGCAGCGACGCCGCGUGAGUGAAGAAGUAUUUCGGUAUGUAAAGCUCUAUCAGCAGGGAAGAAAAUGACGGUACCUGACUAAGAAGCACCGGCUAAAUACGUG